AAUUCCUUUCACGACAUUUCACAAAACAGCUUUGCUAAUAGCUUACGUGCUAUUUAUAUUGGUCUGGGUCCUUAGCAUUUUUUCCUAACACAUAUUUAUUUGUCUUUUCGGGGACCAUCUUAACGCUGCCAACGUCCUCUUGCGGUCAUUUCCUUCCAUUCACAAUUGUACGACUUCCUUGCAGCCAUUGCCAUUGCUCCCUUGCGCCUGUCACCUAAAGUCGCCGAUUGCUUAUCAUCCCAGUGAGGAAUAUGAAGAGUUCUUUUCACACAGUGUAGUGUACACAAGUCAGUCGCUGGUUGUUGAGUCUGUAUCUGAAGCCAUGGAGGAGGACUUGCCUACCGCCUUUCUGCCACGUGAAGUUGUGUGAGUUGGGUGGAUUUGUCGGUGGUGGAUCUGGCUGAGCUGUGUGGUGGUCAGCGAGGACUGGAGUGUGUAUGCCCUCAAGAUGUAUAGCGAUGCCUUCAUUACGAAGACCUGGAUGUGUGAUAAGCGUGGACCUGAGUAUGUGUCCUUGCGAUGUAUGAAAAUGCCUUCAUCUCGAGGACUUGGAUGUGUUAUUAUAAGAGAGGCAGUGUGUUAGCCCUUGCGAUUAAUACACCAAAGCCUUCAUUGUGAGUACCAGGAUUAAGCAUGCCCUUGCGGUGUACAACAAUGCCUUCAUAAUUAGGAUGGAUGUUGGAUGGAUAUUUUUUUUGUUUAAUGCCGCACUCAGCAAUAUUCCAGCUAUAUGACGGUGGUCUGUAAAUAAUCAAGUCUGGACCAGACAAUCCAGUGAUUAAUAUGUUGAUCAUGUUAUGCCAUGACACAUUGAUGAUAGUAAUUUAAAAGAAUUGGGUGGCUUUUAACCCUUUUUGAGUGGUAUAGGAUGACACAAUGAUCUGUUCAAAUAACGUUGAUCCAAAGGCUUAUUCCACACACCAAGGUUAUUACACAUCCUCAUUAUGAUGUCUAUGCUUGUCGUAAAAGGCAACUAACGGGAUCAGGUGGUCAGGCUCGCUGACUUGGUUGAUGCAUGUCAUCGAUCCCAAUUGGGUGGAUCGAUGCUCAUGAUAUUAAUCACUGGAUUGUCUGGUCAAGACUUGAUUAUUUACUGACCGCCGUCUUAUAGCCGGAAUAUUGCUGAGUGUGGCAUUAAACAACAAACAAACAAACAGUUAGCUAGCAUGAUCAGCAGUGUUUGGUUUGGAUAGUCAGAACGAUGGAAUUGUACGUAAUAUUAAGUACUACAUAAUGUCCACAAGGGACACAUAUUUGUAUUAUUUAAGUUUAAAUCUACCAGAAUUUGUGAUGAAAGUAUGGACAGAUUUGCUUCAGAUGAUAGGCCUUCACAUCCGUAAAGUACUGUAUUAACAUCAUAUCCUAUAUGUAAUAUAAUAAAUUGCUCCUAAUUUGAUCAGAAUUGUAACGAAAAAGAAGUAGUGUAGCAGGUCUUCAUGGUAGUGACUUAAGGAGAAAACUGGACUGUCAGUUAUGAUUCCUCGAAUUGAUGUCCGUUUAGGUCACUGGAUCUGAGUGAGGCGGCAGGCGAUAUUUUGACUGAAACUGAUUCCAAAAUUUGUAUAAUAAAAAAUGUUUGUAAUUGUAAGUGCAUAAUAAUACACUUCGAGAAUUUGAAUAUGAGCCAGUAGAUUUAAUUUCUUCGUAUAGAUUAUACUCUAAUUUUGUAGAGUUAGGUGUUAAGGAUUUUGUAGAAUCUUACAUCUGAAAGUUUGUAAUCACUACGAGUGUUAGCUUGGUCUGGGAUACGGUUGCAGAGAUAAGCUGGUGCUUAGUUAUUUACCAUUUUGUAGAAUAAAGCUAAAGAUUGAUUUUUGCGUCUAAGUAACAAUGCUUUCACAUUUGUUUCUGUAUACAGUUUUUAAGUGCUUAUGCCCUUUGUUGCACAACAUGCAGUGUUCCCGCUUGAUUUUGAAACUGCCAGUGCUGGUGGACUGUCAACUCCAAAAAUUACAAUUACCCCCUAAUUUUUGUUAGUCCCAACUUUAAAUCAAUAAGAAAUGUACAAACUUUACCUGGUUUUAAUUCCCUCAACAUGUUCAAUACAAUGAUGUCAUCUCUGCAGUAACAUACUUAGAUCUACAAGUCAUUCAUACAAAGUUCAGUCACACUUUUCUCUCUCUUUUUUGAAUAUUUCGAGACAAAGUCGCUACACAUAUUUAACCUUGAAGAAAGGCAAAAUGUUAUUUCCUUCCACUAAUAGUUGACAAGGGGAAACCCUGAUGGUAACAGACAAGCUGACUUUGUUUGGAAAAAUUUAAAUAUUGCUUAUGUUUUGUUCAACAACAAAGAUUUUUAUAAGGUACUAACUAUAUUUGCUGCUCAACAGGGACUGGCAGUCACAUGAAUUACCGGUCCAAGCCGAAUUUGACCUGUAAAAAACUGGUAAUUACCGGUAAAUGGGAACACUGAUAUGGUUCUUAGAGCAUCCAGAUUUAAUCUUUCCAGUGUCAGUUUGUGAUUUUGUAGUACAAUUAUUCCCAAUUUUACUACAAAUAAUCAUUUUUUUUGUUUUUUAUUGUUUCUGAAAUGAAGUACCUGUUACAUAAAAUGGGCUUCCACCCAGGGCAGCAGAAAGACAUGACAUGUAGCACAACUUAUCAGUACAUCUUAGAUUUAUAUGGAAAAUAACAUACUUCUUACUCACACAUUCACUCUAGUAAUACAAACAUACUGCAUAUAUUAAGUAUGCAUAUUGUAUAUAAUAUUGCAGUGCAGGAAAGUACAUGGUCUCAAAUAUUACAUUCUUAAGUAGAAAACUAAAAUGAAAGCUGCUACUUGUGGGUAAUUGUUUCCUUUUCAUUGUGACAGAAGGAGCACUCAUCAUUUUAAUUAAGUACACACAGAACAGAAUUAGGAGUGAGAAUUCCGUGGGUAAGUUUGUAUUGAAAUCAACACUGUUUUACAUCCUGUUUUGUACCAAAUAUUUUAUUACAGAUAUUGUUCCAAUUUCAGUUUUCAAAUUGUAACUCCCACUUUUCCUGCCCAUUAGUUUUUACUUCUGUAGCAAGGGGGCUCAGGUAGGGUGAAUAUUUUUUCAUAUGUAAAAUCUCUUAAAGCCACAUGAAUAAGGAAACUUGUGUCCCCAGGUGCACCUAUUUCAAUCUACACAUCCUUAUAUGUGUAACAUUUUUUGAGAGAAAGUAAUGUGUUUUGGAAAAGUUGGUCAUUUAUAGUGUUUCAUGAAAAAAUCAAGCCAGAAUAUGCAGUAUUUUUUUAACUGAAGCAGUUUUUUACAACACUAAUAUUAAAUGUAGCGCCAAGAAACACAGUGUGAAUCUCUCACCGUCAGUUUAUUCAUGUUUUCUAAUUCUCAUCCUUGAAGAGUUACUGUUAGCGUUAUCAAAUACCUACGUUGAUGAUGAGGAGGUUCAGAAAACUACAAAAAGGAACAAAACACUUGCUCAGUUUUCAACACAAACCUGAACCAUUCAAAGUAUACAAAUAUUCAAAUUCAAAGUUGCAUCAUAAUAAUUACUUAAAUGAAAUAUUUCUGUUUAGAUCAUUUGUACAUAAAGACAAUGUAAAGAUGAGAGAACAAAACUCACAUCUGUGUUCUGCCAUAAACCAUGUCUUUGUUUUAGCCCCUUAAGACAGGGUAACAACAAGUACCAUUGUUUAACAUCGUUUGGUAUGCUGCGGACGGGGAUUGAACCCCGGACCUUCCACUCACUGUGUGAACGCUAGACCAUGGGUAAACGCUAGACCAUGGAGUCGGUCACUUAACCAAGGACACUUGUGGACUUUAAAAUAUUUUAAAAUAUUAUAAUUAACUGAUACUUUUUAUAAUGUGAAACAUUAGACUACUCGUACAUUAAAAUUAUUUGUUUCUGUAAAUAUUGGAUUAGGGUGUCCCCAAAUUAUAAACUUGGUCAAGGCAGAUAAGAAGUUUCUAUCAUAUAAGGAAUGUAAUGACAUUUAUGAUAUCUGUUCAUCCUAUUUAGAAUUUUAACUAUUUGUAGUUCCAAGUCAUGAAAGCAUAUUUAUUGUUCAUUAGUUUCUAUAGAUUUAUAUAAUUUUCACUACUAUUUUGCCUUUUUUGCUCAAUGGAAUCUGUUUCAGGGAAUAUUCAAGACUGGCUAUUCUCUGGCAUUGACAUUUCAUAUUAACUGUUGGUCAUGAAGCAGUAGGAUCACCAGUGCAGUUUCUGAUUUGCAUGUACAAUGUAUCCUGUGUAUCCUGUGUUCAACAAAGUGUUCAAUUCCAUUCAGGAUGGACAAUAAAACACUUCAAAAGUACAGAAGAUGGUGCUGUGAGUGGCAUUGGUCAGUGUUGUCUGUGGACAGGCUAUCAGAGUAGUUACGGGGGUGUCAAAUAUGGCCAGGUUAAUGUUCAAUUAACCGCAAAUGGCAAAUGGAGAGCUGUUCAUGUUCACGAGAUAGUCUACAUGAUAGCUACCAGCCAAUUCAGUUUAGGUGCAGUGUCUCCCAUCUCUGUGGAAACACCUGUGGUGUUGGGGGCACCUGUUACCGGAGACCCACCCCAUGAAGCUCACCCCAUGAAGGUCCUGCAUGGACAGUGGUGGGGUGCCAAGAUGCUUGGUGACCCUCAGACUGUGACAAGGCUUGUUUUUAUUUGAUGGCUAACAGAUGUCUGACUAACUGAGAAAUGGGAAUACAAACAAGAUUAUGAUAUUUGUCAUGACAUCAUUUGGGUGAGUUGGUGAAGUAGACAGAAAAUGAUGAUAAUUUGACUUAGGCUGCAGGAUGUGUCUAUGUUUGCAGGUCAUGUAAACAUGCAUUUAACUUUUGUCAGGAAGUUUCUUCUUUUUAUCUGGUGUUAUCAGUGGCCAAAGAUUAUAUACAUUAUUCAUGACAAAAGAAAGACCGGUAAAUGACGAUACAAGUGUACUUAUAUUAUGUUUUCGGUUUGUGGCUUCUGACUUUGGCCUGGAGAUGUUUAAUUGUGUUACUAUUGUUACAUGAAGUGGGAGAUCUGUAAACCAACAAAUUAAAGUGUUGCCAAAUCUUCAUGUAAGUGUGUUAACUUCGUUAUGUUACAGUUUUUUAUGAUUUCACCCACAUUAGUGUAGAACCAAUAAAGUGUGUCUCAAACAUGAA
rnacentral:lncRNA from 1 species